rnacentral:rRNA from 1 species
GAUGAACGCUGACAGAAUGCUUAACACAUGCCAGUCUUUGGCGAAGCUGUGCUUGCACAGCCUAGCCAAGGCGGACGGGUGAGUAACGCGUAAGGAACUUGCCCUGCAGUCAGGGAUAACAGACGGAAACGACUGAUAAGACCUGGUAAAGUCAGGCGGACUCAUGUCCAGCCUGAUGAAAAGAGAUGCUGCAGGAGAGCCUUGCGUCCUAUUAGCUUGUUGGUGGGGUAACGGCCCACCAAGGCGAUGACAGGUAGCCGGCCUGAGAGGGUGGACGGCCACAAGGGGACUGAGAUACGGCCCUUACUCCUACGGGAGGCAGCAGUGGGGAAUAUUGGACAAUGGGGGCAACCCUGAUCCAGCAAUUCUGUGUGCACGAUGAAGGUUUUCGGAGUGUAAAGUGCUUUCAGCAGGGAAGAAAAAAAUGACGGUACCUGCAGAAGAAGCGACGGCUAAAUACGUG